rnacentral:rRNA from 1 species
AUUGAACGCUGGCGGCAGGCUUAACACACGCAAGUCGAGCGGAUGAAGAGAGCUUGCUCUCUGAUUUAGCGGCGGACGGGUGAGUAAUGCCUAGGAAUCUGCCUGGUAGUGGGGGAUAACGUUCCGAAUGGAACGCUAAUACCGCAUACGUCCUACGGGAGAAAGCAGGGGACCUUCGGGCCUUGCGCUAUCAGAUGAGCCUAGGUCGGAUUAGCUAGUUGGUGAGGUAAUGGCUCACCAAGGCUACGAUCCGUAACUGGUCUGAGAGGAUGAUCAGUCACACUGGAACUGAGACACGGUCCAGACUCCUACGGGAGGCAGCAGUGGGGAAUAUUGGACAAUGGGCGAAAGCCUGAUCCAGCCAUGCCGCGUGUGUGAAGAAGGUCUUCGGAUUGUAAAGCACUUUAAGUUGGGAGGAAGGGCAGUAAGUUAAUACCUUGCUGUUUUGACGUCACCGACAGAAUAAGCACCGGCUAACUUCGUGCCAGCCGCCGCGGUAAGAC